rnacentral:rRNA from 1 species
UACGUAGGGGCAAGCGUUGUCCGGAUUUAUUGGGCGUAAAGAGCGUGUAGGCGGCCCGGUAAGUCCGCUGUGAAAGUCGGGGGCUCAACCCUCGAAUGCCGGUGGAUACUGUCGGGCUAGAGUGCGGAAGAGGCGAGUGGAAUUCCUGGUGAUGAGCGGUGAAAUGACGCAGACUAUCAGGAAGAACACCCGUGGCGAAGGCGGUCUCUGGACGGUACUGACGCUGGAGACGGCGAAAGCGUGGGGAGCGAACAGG